UACGUAGGGUGCAAGCGUUUGUCCGGAAUUAUUGGGGCGUAAAGAGCUCGUAGGCGGUUUGUCGCGUCUGCUGUGAAAACCCGAGGCUCAACCUCGGCCUGCAGUGGGUACGGGGCGAGACUAGAGUGCGGUAGGGGGAGAUUGGAAUUCCUGGUGUAGCGGUGGAAUGCGCAGAUAUCAGGAGGAACACCGAUGGCGAAGGCAGAUCUCUGGGCCGUAACUGACGCUGAGGAGCGAAAAGCAUGGGGGAGCGAACAGG
rnacentral:rRNA from 1 species